rnacentral:rRNA from 1 species
UACAGAGGGUGCGAGCGUUAAUCGGAAUUAUUGGGCGUAAAGGGCGCGUAGGCGGCCAUGCGUGUCUUCCGUGAAAUCCCUCGGCUUAACUGAGGACGUGCGGAAGAAACUGCAAGGCUCGAGUCCGGGAGAGGGGGGUGGAAUUCCCAGUGUAGCGGUGAAAUGCGUAGAUAUUCGCAAGAACACCAGUGGCGAAGGCGGCUCACUGGCCCGGUACUGACGCUGAGGUGCGAAAGCGUGGGGAGCAAACAGG